rnacentral:tRNA from 2 species
ACAGAUAUAAGUUAAUCAUAAACUAUUGGUCUUCAAAACCAAAAAUUUUAAUCUGUA